GACGAACCGAGCGAACGUUGUUCGGAAUCACUGGGCUUAAAGGGCGCGUAGGCGGGCUGCCAAGUUUGGGGUGAAAUCCUCCGGCUCAACCGGAGCAGUGCCUCGAAUACUGGCGGUCUCGAGGGAGGUAGGGGCGUGCGGAACUGUGGGUGGAGCGGUGAAAUGCGUAGAGAUCCGGAGGAACACCGACGGCGUAAGCAGCGCCCUAAACGAGUACUGACGCUCAGGCACGAAAGCUGGGGGAGCAAACAGG
rnacentral:rRNA from 1 species